UAUCUCCUUUCCGAUUUUAUGCUGUAAUUUUUUUGUAGGUGCCAUUAUUGUUCAUUUAAACUUCUACCAAAAAUUACUUUAUCAAUUUUUUCUAUCUACUUUGAAUGUUCCGAUUUCAGAAGAAUUCUUGUGAACUGUAUCAGUAGAAAGAUAAGAAAUUCCAUCUUGUAAUUUUGUACACAUAGCCAUCUCAAGUUGUUCAAGUUGUUGCGCAACUUUAGCCAGAUCUUAAGAUUUAACCUUAUAGUCCAAAACAGCUAAAAGCUCAUCCCUUCCAGCAUCUGGUUGUUCUUCUUCAAAAAUCUUGGAUUUACUAGAAGAAGAGCCAUCUUGGAAUUUUUCUCUAUCACGAUCUCUUUCAUUUUCUUGGGAUUUUCUCUAAUGGGGUUUAAUCUUUUUCCUUCUUUUUUUUUUCCGGAUUAUUAGGUGUGUGUGACAAGUGCUGGAUUUUGACAAGGAAUUGGUUUACUAGAAAGCUGGAUGAUGAAUGGAGGAGUUUGAAGAAGGAAAAAGUCUGAUUUUUUUGCUUGGUUUUUGCAUCAACUUUCAGAUUUUUGGGGACUACUUUGUUUCUUUUUGAUUUGAAUAUUUAUUUUCUUUUUGAGAGUUGUGAGACAGAGAAGAGAGUGUAAGAGGAAGUGCUCGUGAAGAGGGCCCAACCACUUUAUCUCAUUUACUCUUUAAGUCAGUUUCAUCUUCUUUGCUCACACUCACUUUCAUCUCCUUCACUCUUUUGGCUCACUGUCUGUUGUGAUAGUUGUGUGUUCGUGCGUUUUAAUAGCAAAAAUCACCGUGUGGUCAUCCCAUCAUACUUUAACUCUUUUUAACUAAAAGGCCUUUGGAAAAUCACAUGCUGACAAACAGGCUAGGCGACGCGAAUUAUAUAGACUGAUGCCACCUGAUAAAAAAGAGGCCCUUUUGGCAUGACGGCGUGCAAACAGAGCUGAACUGAAAAGACGACGGUCUACUGAAUCUUCAAUUAGUGUUGAUGCAGCUAACGCAUCAUCCUCUAACGCAACCAAUGUUUCUACCAACCAAAGUUCUCUUAUUAUAAAUGACCCAUUGCCUUUUUCAAGGAAAAGAACAGGGAACGUUUUCACAAAAUCUGGUGGUUCGAGUAGUAUGCAAGCAGAAAAUACUUACGUUAAAUUAAAAGAAAUACCAAAAUGCCAAUUUUGUGGAGCAAAAAAAUUUGAAUAUGAACCGCCUGCAUUCUGUUGUGAUUAAGUCCACUAUGGGUGAAAGGUUAACUAUCAACAUGAUCACUCCCAAAACAAAAGAAUGGACCUGUAAGAUCCAAGUAAUUGAUAAAGGUCGUCCCAAAGACAACAAAGAGAAAACCAAAAAAUAUCAACUCAUGACUUUACAGGAUGAAGAGGAAAAUCAAAUUCAGGCCAUCAUGUUCAAUGCUGAUAUAACGCAUUUUGAAGAUCUAUUUGAACCUUUCCACACUCCCUUGGUGUCAGUUGCACAGGUGAAGGAGUCAUCUUAUUUAUAUGGAAAUCCACUUAACAAAUUCACUUGAACAAUCGAUAAAAGAACCAUUGUUGAGCCAAUUGAAAAGGUCACUCCUCCUGAGGAUCCAUUACCUCCGCCAACGCGGCUAACUAUCACUGCGUUUGACACUUUCGAGUAUCAACCUAAAGAAUCUGAAUUUGGUAUUCAAAGAUUUAAUUAUCUAUAUUUGUGCAUAUACAAACCAUUUAUUGUACCUUCUCAAAAAUCUUUUCAUUGUUAUGGCACAAUGAUUUUCAUAAUUUGUUAACUUACUUGUUGUUUCUUUUUUUGGUUUAACGUAAGAUGUCCUUGCUAUUGUGAUUAAUGGCGGUCCUUCAACAUAUGCUGCAAAUGGAAGAAGAAUUCAAGAAUUUAUCAUUAUGGAUAAGCAG